rnacentral:lncRNA from 1 species
AAUCACACAAUAAGCUACUUAGAACAUUGAAGGGCAUUAGGAUCCUUUUUGAAAACCAUGAAAAUCAAACAAAUUCACAUCAUCCCCAAAUUGCUAUCAUGGAAGUUAUGCACACCAUAUUGAAUUAUCCUAACCAAUAAGGAGUCUUGUAUAAAUAUAUAUGACUUAGAAAUUCACAGAUUAUUAUCUUUGGAAGGGCCUUAUAGAUCACAGUCCAAUCCCCUAGAUACAAAAUCCAAGGCAGGAUUCUCUCUUUCUUUUCUCUUUCUUUUUUCUUUCUUCCUUUUUUCCCUUCUUUUCUUUAAAGAUGGGAGAUGUAUCAGAAUGCCAAAGGCUCUUUUGUAUUUACAAUAUUUUGGGGCUUUCCAUUGACCUCACUCCCACUUUUCUAUAACUGUUAUUAUUAACGUUUUCCAAUUCUUAAGCUCCAUCCAUGUUAGAAAGCUUCAUUUCUCUUCAAUCUUCCUUUUUUUCUUUCCCUUUUAUUCUGUUAUUCUGUUUUUUCCUUUCCCUUUUCCUUGUCUUGCUCCUUCUCCAGUGACUCACCUGUUUUACAGGUGAGAGUAUUUUAUAGUAUUUUCUCUUUCCAGCUCUGUUGCUUGCUUGCUUCUUGCUAUGGUAUUCAAAAUAUGAGGAACUGGCAAAACAUCCUACCAAUUAAUCAAUGAUGUUAACAGAUCUCCCACUCUUCCAGUCUCAUUGUAGAAGGGGUGUUGGAGUUGAUGGUGACCAUUCUCUCAAAGCCAUUGCUGUUUCUUUCUUUUUCUACUCUUUGAUCUUGGACACUGGAGAAACUAAAGCCAAGAGGAUAUGAAACUUGCAUAAUCAAUUGCUGUGGAACCAAAGUAUAACAUGGCUCAAAUCUGUUUAACUUGAACUCUGAAACAAAAAUCCCAAUUGUGUUACAAUGUGGGACCAGUUACUGUGUCUAAUAGGUCAUUUGAAAUGAAAGAGGAUAUUGGAGCUGGGUAGAUAAUGGGGUCCAGGACUGCAUGAUGGGGAUUGGAUAUUGACUGAGUCCCUCUUUUAGGUGACCAUUUGUUGAACCUCCCAUAUCUGCAAGGACUUCCUGAGGCUUACCACUCUCAGUAUUUGUUGUCUGAUAAAGCCUGGCUACCUAUGGUUUAAGAAAUAAAAUCAUCCUAAGCUGAAACUUACUGGGUGCUCACAGUGUUCCAGGCAGUGGCAUGUAAAGUUCACAGAUAAUGUCUCUAAUCCCCAUAGGAAUCCUGUGGGAUCAAUAUACUAUUAUAUUCAUUUUGAAGAUGAAGAAGAGGUGUUGAAGAAGUGAAGUAAUGUGUCUAAAUCUCACAUCCAGGAGGAUCUGGCUCAAAAGCACACACUCUUAACCAUUGUGCUUCCUCACUACCCUGUGCUGUCUGUAAAGCCCUGAAUCUGCCUGCAGUUUGCCUGGCGUUCUACUCCAAGGGAGCUAUUAUGGUUUAGAUAUGAGGUAUCCCCCAAGAGCUCAUGUGUGAGACAAUGUAAGAAAGUUUAGAGGUGAAAUGAUUGGGCUAUGAGACUCUUAACCUUAUCAACACAUUAACCCUUAAUUGGGAGGUAAUUGUAAGUAGGUAGGGUGUGGCUGGAGGAAGUAGUCACUAGAGGCAUGGCUUUGGGGUUUAUAAUUUGUCUGGUGAGUGGAGAACUCUCUGCUUCCUGAUUGCUUUCCUCUUGAUUUGCUUUCCUCCACCACACCCUUCACCAUGAUGUUCUGCCUCAUCCUGUACACAGAGAAAUGGAGUCAGUCCUCUAUGGACUGAGAUCUCUGGAAUCAUGAGCGCUAAAUAAACUUUUCCACCUCUAAAAUUGUUCUGUCAGGUCUUUUGUUCCC